AUCAACAGUUAUUAGUGAGUUGUAAAGGGCUAGGUCGGAGGAGUGAUUGGCUGUAACAUUAGCAGGCAGGUAGAAAUCUGUAUGCAUGAAACAAUAUUGCUGUUGUUAAUGUUAAAUGAAAAAUGUUUUAGAUCAUUGUUUUAAUAUCACAAAUUGUGUGUUCAUUUACAGGGUGACCUUACUGUUAGGACGAGCCAAUACAAGUUGAGGUGCAGAUCAAAGAGGAAUUCAGGAGAAUAACUACAAUUUCCCUGGAGGCAGAGAUUCAUGUACAAACUGGAUCACCAGACAAAAACGUGUUUCCCUGAUGAAGGCCAAGGGAGGUGUCAUGGGGACCAAGCUGAGGCCAUUGCUGGACAAACUGAGUCAACACCAAAGCAUUGAGAUGAAACGUGAAGUUGUUAUCCGCAACCUUAUACUGUACCUUGCCGAGAAAGAAGAGGAACUUUUUGAAGACUGCUAAGAAAAACAUGAUUUAUUU